UNANNNGUCUUGACNUCCUUUGACCNCUCGAGAGAUCGAGCUUUCCCUUCGGGGACAAAGUGACAGGUGGUGCAUGGUUGUCGUCAGCUCGUGUCGUGAGAUGUUGGGUUAAGUCCCGCAACGAGCGCAACCCUUAUUACUAGUUGCCAGCAUUCAGUUGGGCACUCUAGUGAGACUGCCGGUGACAAACCGGAGGAAGGUGGGGAUGACGUCAAAUCAUCAUGCCCCUUAUGACCUGGGCUACACACGUGCUACAAUGGAUGGUACAACGAGUCGCGAAGUCGUGAGGCCAAGCUAAUCUCUUAAAGCCAUUCUCAGUUCGGAUUGUAGGCUGCAACUCGCCUACAUGAAGCCGGAAUCGCUAGUAAUCGCGGAUCAGAACGCCACGGUGAAUACGUUCCCGGG
rnacentral:rRNA from 1 species